rnacentral:rRNA from 1 species
UACGUAGGGGGCUAGCGUUGUCCGGAAUCAUUGGGCGUAAAGAGCGUGUAGGCGGCCCGGUAAGUCCGCUGUGAAAGUCGGGGGCUCAACCCUCGAAUGCCGGUGGAUACUGUCGGGCUAGAGUGCGGAAGAGGCGAGUGGAAUUCCUGGUGUAGCGGUGAAAUGCGCAGAUAUCAGGAGGAACACCACUUGCGAAGGCAGCUCGCUGGGACGUUACUGACGCUGAGACGCGAAAGCGUGGGGAGCAAACAGG